UACGUAGGGUGCAGGCGUUAAUCGGAAUUACUGGGCGUAAAGCGAGUGUAGGUGGUUGUCCAAGUCAGAUGUGAAAUCCCCGGGCUUAACCUGGGAACUGCGUUUGAAACUACAAGGCUAGAGUGUGGCAGAGGGGGGUGGAAUUCCACGUGUAGCAGUGAAAUGCGUAGAGAUGUGGAGGAACACCGAUGGCGAAGGCAGCCCCCUGGGUUAACACUGACGCUCAGGCACGAAAGCGUGGGGAGCAAACAGG
rnacentral:rRNA from 1 species